rnacentral:tRNA from 1 species
AGCAGUGUAUUAUAAUGGGUAAGGAGGUAGUCUUGUAAUCUAAAGAUCACAGGUUCGAUUCCGGGGAAGGACACUGCUG